rnacentral:rRNA from 1 species
GGAGUUUGGUCCGUGUCUCAGUACCAAUGUGGGGGACCUUCCUCUCAGAACCCCUACUGAUCGUAGCCUUGGUGGGCCGUUACCCCGCCAACAAGCUAAUCAGACGCAUCCCCAUCCCAUAGCGAUGAAUCUUUGGUAUUCGUCAGAUGUCCUCAAAAUACAACAUAGGGCAUUAAUCCGACUUUCGCCGGGCUAUUCCCUACUAUGGGGAAGGUUGGAUACGCGUUACUCACCCGUGCGCCGGUCGCCAGCAACAAUAGCAAGCUAUCGUCCUGCUGCCCCUCGACUUGCAUGUGUUAAGCCUGUAGCUAGCGUUCAUC